UUGGAAACUUAACACAAAGCACAGAAGUGACAAAUUUAAUAAUGGAAACAGUUAUUUUGGUGACUUUUCUCUUUAUAGCUACAAUAAGUGGUGUGUGGACAGAGAUCAGACUGGAGCAGCCAUCUUCUUUGGUGAAAAGAGCUGGAGAAAAUGUGAAGAUGUCCUGUGUUACAUCUGGUUUUUCUAUGACAAGCACUUUCAUCCACUGGAUACGACAGAGACCAGGACAAGGGCUCGAGUGGAUCGGCAGAAUGGAUGCUGGAAGUAACUCACCAAUUUAUGCCAGUGCCUUUCAACAACGCUUCACUCUGACUGAAAAUGUCCCCAGCAGCACCCAGUACAUGGAGAUCACAGGUCUGACAGCAGAAGACACUGCUGUUUACUACUGUGCCCGACAAGCACAGUGACAGGAAGAAUGAAGCUCAUGUACAAAAACAUCCAACCAAGAGCUGCUGUGCAUGUUCCUCUCAAACACAGACUGGACAUUCACUCCAAAACAAAUACCAUGAAAUUUGCCCGUUUUAAUUUUCUGUUGCAACCACAUCCUAAACUGAAGACAAAAAUAAAAGGUUAUGUCUUGAAAAUUACUGUAAAAAUAUCCAUGAAUUAAGAUUUGUUCAAACUCGAUUUCAAACUGAAGAAUCGUCUCUAGAUAC